AGAUGGCGACCGGCGCACGGGUGAGUAACACGUAUCCAACCUGCCGAUAACUCGGGGAUAGCCUUUCGAAAGAAAGAUUAAUACCCGAUGGCAUAAUAGAACCGCAUGGUUUUGAUUAUUAAAGAAUUUCGGUUAUCGAUGGGGAUGCGUUCCAUUAGGCAGUUGGUGGGGUAACGGCCCACCAAACCUUCGAUGGAUAGGGGUUCUGAGAGGAAGGUCCCCCACAUUGGAACUGAGACACGGUCCAA
rnacentral:rRNA from 1 species